UCUCUUGUGUUAAGGUGCAUCUAGUGCAGUUAGUGAAGCAGCUUAGAAUUGACUGCCCUAAAUGCCCCUUCUGGCACAGGCU
rnacentral:pre_miRNA from 1 species